rnacentral:rRNA from 1 species
UACGUAGGGUGCGAGCGUUGUCCGGAAUUAUUGGGCGUAAAGGGCUCGUAGGCGGUUUGUCGCGUCGGGAGUGAAAACCAGGUGCUUAACACCUGGCUUGCUUUCGAUACGGGCAGACUAGAGGUAUUCAGGGGAGAACGGAAUUCCUGGUGUAGCGGUGAAAUGCGCAGAUAUCAGGAGGAACACCGGUGGCGAAGGCGGUUCUCUGGGAAUGACCUGACGCUGAGGAGCGAAAGUGUGGUGAGCGAACAGG